UUUUAAAUAGUUUUAAAAAAAAAUAUAAGUUUUGUAAACUUAAGAUGUAUAUUAAUUACUUUAAGAA
rnacentral:tRNA from 1 species